CGAUGGAGGGGGAUAACACUGGAAACGGUAGCUAAUACCGCAUAACGUCGCAAGACCAAAGAGGGGGACCUUCGGGCCUCUUGCCAUCGGAUGUGCCCAGAUGGGAUUAGCUAGUAGGUGGGGUAACGGCUCACCUAGGCGACGAUCCCUAGCUGGUCUGAGAGGAUGACCAGCCACACUGGAACUGAGACACGGUCCAG
rnacentral:rRNA from 1 species